rnacentral:rRNA from 1 species
GAUGAACGCUGGCGGCGUGCCUAAUACAUGCAAGUCGAGCGAACGGACGAGAAGCUUGCUUCUCUGAUGUUAGCGGCGGACGGGUGAGUAACACGUGGAUAACCUACCUAUAAGACUGGGAUAACUUCGGGAAACCGGAGCUAAUACCGGAUAAUAUUAUGAACCGCAUGGUUCAAAAGUGAAAGACGGUCUUGCUGUCACUUAUAGAUGGAUCCGCGCUGCAUUAGCUAGUUGGUAAGGUAACGGCUUACCAAGGCAACGAUGCAUAGCCGACCUGAGAGGGUGAUCGGCCACACUGGAACUGAGACACGGUCCAGACUCCUACGGGAGGCAGCAGUAGGGAAUCUUCCGCAAUGGGCGAAAGCCUGACGGAGCAACGCCGCGUGAGUGAUGAAGGUCUUCGGAUCGUAAAACUCUGUUAUUAGGGAAGAACAUAUGUGUAAGUAACUGUGCACAUCUUGACGGUACCUAAUCAGAAAGCAACGGCUAACUACAUG